UUAAGUGAUAUUUACUUAUUAUUAUUUAUUUUAUAAAUUUUUAUAUAAAUCAUUUAUUUGUUGUUGUAUAUGUUAUAAAUUUAAUUAAUAUGUUAUAUUGUAUUAGUACUGUAAAGGAUAAAUAGAAAUAAUGAAUUUUAGUUUAUAAGUUGAAUUUAUUUUUUGUACCUUGUGUAUCAGAGUUAAAUUUAUAAAUAUUUAUAUAUCUAUUAAUAUUCUCGAUUCUUUUAGAGUUAAUGAAUUAUUUUAUUUAUUAUUAAAUAAAUAUUAAUAAUAGUUUGUUGGUAGUGAAAUAUUAAUCGUUAAAAGGGAUAUCUAGUUUUUUAGGAAAUGAAUUUAAUUUAAAUUCUUUUUUUUAAUUAUUUUCUUUAAAAUAAAUUUUGAAUUAGGAUUAUUAAUAGUAGGGAUAAGCUUAUUAUUAAAUUUGUAUAUAGUUGUUUAAAUGGAAUUAGCGUGGGUUUAAUAAUGACUAAUAUUAUAAGUUUAUUAAAAUUUUAUUUUUUUAGGAAUUAAAUUUAUUAUUUUUUACAAUUUUAUUAAAAAGUUUUAAUUAAUUAUUGUUUAAUUUUAAUUAUGGUUAAAUUAGUAUAAUAUUUAUAUAUAUAAAAUAUAUAUUUAUUGAUUAGUAAAUUUUAGGAAUUAGGCAAAAUUACUAUUAUCCGCCUGUUUAACAAAAACACCUCUUCUCGAAUAAAUGGGAAGUAUGACCUGCCCAAUGAUAAAUUUAAUGGCCGCGGUAUUUUGACCGUGCAAAGGUAGCAUAAUCAUUAGUCUUUUAAUUAGAGGCUGGAAUGAAUGGUUUGACGAGAUAAUAACUUUCUUUAUUUUAUUAAUUUAGAAUUUAAUGUUUAGGUUAAAAAGCUUAAAUUUUUUUUUGGGACGAGAAGACCCUAUAGAGUUUAUAUAUCUGGUGUUAUUAAAUAGGUUUUAAUUUAUUAAUAAUUUCAAUUAUUUUGUUGGGGUGAUAGGAAGACAAUUGUAACUCUUUUUUAAAAUUAGUUAUUUAUUUAUAUCUAUAAAUUGAUCCAUAAUUAGUGAAUGUAAGACUAAAUUACCUUAGGGAUAACAGCGUAAUCUUUUUUGAGAGUUCAUAUCGACAAAAGGGGUUGCGACCUCGAUGUUGAAUUAAGGAUAUCUUUAGGUGUAGAAGCUUAAAAAUUAGGUCUGUUCGACCUUUAAAUUCUUACAUGAUUUGAGUUCAGACCGGCGUAAGCCAGGUCGGUUUCUAUCUAAUAUGAAUUAAAAUAUUUUAGUACGAAAGGACCAAAUAUUUGAAAUAAUUUUUAUUAAUUGAUUAUUAUUAA
rnacentral:rRNA from 1 species